GACAGAGGUCCCGAGCGUUAGGCGGAAUCACUGGGCUUAAAGCGUGUGUAGGCGGAUUGGUAAGUACCUUGUGAAAUCCCACGGCUUAACCGUGGAACUGCUUGGUAUACUGCUUAUCUUGGGCCACUUAGGGGUUACCGGAACAAACGGUGGAGCGGUGAAAUGCGUAGAUAUCGUUUGGAACGCCAAUGGUGAAAACAGGUAACUGGGAGUGUGCCGACGCUGAGACACGAAAGCCAGGGAGCGAACGGG
rnacentral:rRNA from 1 species